rnacentral:rRNA from 1 species
GACGAACGCUGGCGGCGUGCUUAACACAUGCAAGUCGAACGGAAAGGCCCUGCUUUUGUGGGGUGCUCGAGUGGCGAACGGGUGAGUAACACGUGAGUAACCUGCCCUUGACUUUGGGAUAACUUCAGGCAACUGGGGCUAAUACCGGAUAGGAGCUCCUGCUGCAUGGUGGGGGUUGGACAGUUUCGGCGGUUGGGGAUGGACUGGCGGCUUAUCAGCUUGUUGGUGGGGUAGUGGCUUACCAAGGGUUUGACGGGUAGCCGGCCUGAGAGGGUGACCGGCGACAUUGGGACUGAGAUAGGGCCCAGACUCCUACGGGAGGCAGCAGGGGGGAAUAUUGCACAAUGGGCGGAAGCCUGAUGCAGCAACGCCGGGUGCGGGAUGACGACCUUCGGGUUGUAAACCGCUUUCGGCUGUGACGAAGCGUGAGUGACGGUAAUGGGUAAAGAAGCACCGGCUAACUACGUG